GGGGUUGUGGCUCAGCGGUAGAGCGCUCCCCUCGCGUAUGGGAGGCCCUGGGUUCCAUCCUCAGCACCUCA
rnacentral:tRNA from 1 species